AAAACCAAGCACGCGCAUGAUGCGUAAUAUUUAUUUGAUUUAUAUUGGGUAGUUAAUGAUGACGUAGUUUGUUGCAUGACUAGUGUAAACCUGCCUUGCACUAUACGUAAUAUAAGUGCAUGCGCAUUAGACAUUUUAAAUUUUAAGCUCGUACUUGUUCGAUCCACCAAGGUAAAGUUCUAAGAGAUUGUAUAUAAAGAUAACAACAAGAGAUUUCGUCAACAUGAAUAGAAGUGCUGCCUCUAUGUUUUUACAAUACAAGCUACAAAAAUUACGAUAGUUGGAUUGUAAAUUUUCUGAAAUGGUAUAGUAUAUGCCAUCUGAAGCGUUUACGUAUGAAAGACAAGUGUUGUCACAAACCAUGAUGUGAUGCUUGUAUGAGUGUAUAUAUAUAUGUAUAUAAAUACAAAUGAUGACAUCUACUUUGUCUGUAUUAUUUGUGGUUCAACUAUAUAUAUUUAUAAAUCAGUUCAUCUUUAUCGACAGUGUAGUGCAGAAAUAGAGGUUAUUAUUCAUGACGUUUUUCGGACAAUUGUAAAUAAGAAAUUUAAAAUAAAAACUGUACUUUCGUCAUUACAAACCUACAUAGAUUGUGGAAUAUAACAAUUUGGUGGUGAUAAUCUUCAUUUGUCGACAAUGAAUAAUUUUACCCGGCUUUGCGAGAGGUAAAACAUUUCAAUAACCUCAAAUUAUGGACAUUCAACAUUUCUUUAUGAUACUGAAGUUAGCAGACGCCUAAUAAUUUUUGGAUUUUUUUAAAAAUGAUAAAUUAUAGAAAAAAAGUAUUCGAAAAAAUUGCACCUAUGGUUUUUUUAAUUUUCUACAUGUGCGUAUUUUGAAUACAAAUAAAUGAGUUAUUUAUUCAUAAAUUUUAUAUAUACCAAAAAAAUAUGUUUGAAAAAAUAUUAAAUAAAUGUUUUAUUAUUACUACUUCAA